CCUUUUGAUUGCGCUCUGUCUCUCUCCCCCAUCUCUCCACCUCCUCUCUCCUUUCUCCCUCCCUCUCUCCCUCUCUCUCUUUCCUUUUUUCUUUCUUUCUUUCUUUUCUCUCUCUCUCUCCCUCCUUUCUUUCUUUCUUUCUUUCUUUCUUUCUUUCUUUCUUUCUUUCUUUCUUUCUUUCCAUUCUUUCCAUUCUUUCUUUUCUUCCUUCCUUUCCUUUUGUGGAAAAAGUAGCCGUUCUUUAUAAGAAUAAAAUCACAUCCUUUGCCUUUUCACUUUCUCCCUCCAUCUUCCUCCCUCUCUCUUGUACCCUCAGAUCGCCACGCUUUGGACCUCCCACGAAUGGUUUGAACCUGAGGCAUGAAUUGAGCUUGACUCCCUUGAGGGAGAGUUGCGAGAGGUGCUUACCAGAGUGGAGGAGGGUCAACAAACACAUCUAAAAGACAAAGACUGCAUCAGAAUUAGUGAUAUCCCCAGAUGACUAUGAAUCCAUGUGAAGAUAGUGGAGCCCCAGUGAAAGGAGUUUGAUGCCUGACUUAUUGCCUGGAGCAGAGUCUCCACUGUCAGCUGGUAUUACAUAGUGAUGUAAGGGAGAAAUAAAAAUUUAUUAUAUCAAGUCACUGACAUAUGGGGAUUGUUUGUA
rnacentral:lncRNA from 1 species